CAUAGUUAUGAGUUCCCGAUAGGAUCCACGACAGUGGAGAAGCCUUGUAACCAUAAAAAAUAACGAUGGGGGAAAGACGAUG
rnacentral:sRNA from 2 species